rnacentral:rRNA from 1 species
UGGGGAAUAUUGGUCAAUGGGGGGAACCCUGAACCAGCAACGCCGCGUGAAGGAAGAAGGCUUUCGGGUUGUAAACUUCUUUGACAGGGGACGAAAGAAAUGACGGUACCCUGAAAACAAGCCACGGCUAACUACGUGCCAGCAGCCGCGGUAAUACGUAGGUGGCGAGCGUUGUCCGGAAUUACUGGGUGUAAAGGGCGUGUAGGCGGGAAAGCAAGUCAGAUGUGAAAUACCGGGGCUUAACUCCGGGGCUGCAUCUGAAACUGUUUUUCUUGAGUGUCGGAGAGGAAAGCGGAAUUCCUAGUGUAGCGGUGAAAUGCGUAGAUAUUAGGAGGAACACCAGUGGCGAAGGCGGCUUUCUGGACGACAACUGACGCUGAGGCGCGAAAGCGUGGGGAGCAAACAGG